rnacentral:lncRNA from 1 species
CAUUCACCAACAAUACUCUCCAGUCCUCUCUAAUCUUCUGUUCUUAACUAGUCAAUCCCCUACCAUGGAUUAAUCCAACCAUCCAUUUUCUCAUGAGUGUGGUCAACAAAUAUCCUGGUAAGUACUGAUUGGUUUAAUUACUGAUAUAUAAUUACAGCCUUGGUUGGCCUUUAAAUUUUAUUUAUUUAUUUUUUGAGACAGAGUUUCGUGCUGUUGCCCAGGAUGGAGUGCAGCUGGAGUGCAAUCUCAGCUCACUGCAACCUCUACUGCCCAGGUUCAAGCAAUUCUCAUGCCUCAGCCUCCCGA